UUUUCAAUCAUCUAUCUCCCCAUCCCAGCAAAUUCCAUAACAAAGAGAGUAUGAGUCUGAAAAAGCUAGAGGAACAGAACCGCAAAAGAGGUGUGCCCUACACUUUUAUUCACACUCCAAUUUCCUGCUCUCCAGUCAGAUUAAAGGCAAAAAUAAGCCCUUUAAAAACCCAUAAACAUAUACAUUGACACACAACUAAUUGGUUAACUGGGGCAUUGGGCUCCUCCACUCCUCAAGCGUCAGCUGAAUCUCCAGCAGAGGGUGACAGAUUCAGACUCGGAGGACAAACACAAUCACUGUGCUCAGAUCAGCCUUUUGGAGGCACAGGUGGAAGGUGAGCCCAACGUUUCAUUCGAGUUUGAACUCUACUUGACAUCUGUGGUACACUUUGACCGUAAAAGUGGCGUAGCUGUGCGGUUUUGAUUGGGACAAAAAUCCUAAACCAGAACAUUCAAAUAAAAUUUUCGUAAGCAGUGGUUCUUAACCUUUUUGACUCCACAAGUCCCCCAUUUUUCACAACAAUAUUCAAAGACCCCAUGACUUUUCCAGUUGUUCAUGAAGAAGAAUUAUGGAACAAGUUAUCAUUGUUGAUGAACACUGAUCUACAGUGUGGAAGAGUGUCUGGAUAAUGUGUGUUUUUUAGAGCUUGUGAAGCAAGGAGGACAGUCCAAGCAGUCUGAUAUCCAGUCAUAUCCUUUUAAUAAAAGAAAAAAUGACACUAGAGCAUUUUGUCUAACAGGUUUAUUUUGCAUUGUUUAUUUUUUCUGACGGGUGUGAUAACACUUAAAAAUGAAUAGGCAGCACUUCAGCGGAUGUGGUUGGUUGGGUACAGUUAUAAAACUUAAAAAAAAAAUGACAUUUUAUUUUGAAUAUAUAGACAACAAGGGAAAAAAUGAAAUGGCAGCAGAUAUAUUGUAAAUGAAGGUAACAAUCUCACUUUGUCAUCACAGAUAAAGUGUAUUUGUGUUGUAUAAAAUGACCAGAAACUUUAUCAGUCUUUACUACA